GUCACUUUCGCUUCUUCCCUGCUGGAAAGAGGUUUACAACCCGAAGGCCGUCAUCCCUCACGCGGCGUCGCUGCAUCAGGCUUUCGCCCAUUGUGCAAUAUUCCCCACUGCUGCCUCCCGUAGGAGUCUGGGCCGUGUCUCAGUCCCAGUGUGGCCGGUCGCCCUCUCAGGCCGGCUACCCGUCGUCGCCUUGGUAGGCCAUUACCCCACCAACAAGCUGAUAGGCCGCGGGCUCAUCCUUCACCGCCGGAGCUUUUAACCCCGCCCCAUGAGGGACAGAGUGUUAUCCGGUAUUAGACCCCGUUUCCAGGGCUUGUCCCAGAGUGAAGGGCAGAUUGCCCACGUGUUACUCACCCGUUCGCCACUAAUCCACCCCGAAAGGCUUCAUCGUUCGACUUGCAUGUGUUAAGCACGCCGCCAGCGUUCGUCCUGAGCCAGGAUCAAACUCU
rnacentral:rRNA from 1 species